rnacentral:lncRNA from 1 species
ACGACGCGGUGGUAAUUUCUAUGAUUGUAAAUAAGUUUGAUGUAAAACGCGUCUUGUUUGAUAAUGAAAUGUGGAGUGAUUGAUUAUAACCCUAUUUGAUUUUGAUGAGCUCAAAGCAUUUGAGUAUAUCUUAUGGUUACUAAUGAAUUCAACCUAGUGUUUCAGUGAAAAUCUUGUAAAUUUAUGGUUAAGUGUCUCUAGAUUUGGUUCAAGACAUUUUGGAUAAGUUAAGAAGUCAAUCUGAACCAAA